GNNNAACGCUAGCGGCAGGCUUAAUACAUGCAAGUCGAACGGCAAGUUGAAUAGCAAUAUUUGACCUAGAGUGACGUACGGGUGCGUAACACGUAUGCAACCUACCCAUAACAGGAGGAUAGCUCCCCGAAAGGGGAAUUAACCCUCCAUAGUAAUAUUGAAUGGCAUCAUUUGAUAUUUAAAACUCCGGUGGUUAUGGAUGGGCAUGCGUCUGAUUAGUUAGUUGGCGGGGUAACGGCCCACCAAGACGAUGAUCAGUAGGGGAACUGAGAGGUUGAUCCCCCACACUGGCGCUGAGAUACGGGCCAGACUCCUACGGGAGGCAGCAGUAGGGAAUAUUGGUCAAUGGGUGCAAGCCUGAACCAGCCAUGCCGCGUGCAGGAAGAAGGCGUUAUGCGUUGUAAACUGCUUUUGCCAGGGGAUAAAAUUUCCUUGCGAGGAACAUUGAAGGUACCUGGUGAAUAAGCCACGGCUAACUACGUGCCAGCAGCCGCGGUAAUACGUAGGUGGCAAGCGUUGUCCGGAUUUAUUGGGUUUAAAGGGUGCGUAGGCGGCCCUGUAAGUCAGUGGUGAAAUACUCUAGCUUAACUAGAGGGGUGCCAUUGAUACUGCAGGGCUUGAGUGGAGUCGAAGUAGGCGGAAUUGACGGUGUAGCGGUGAAAUGCUUAGAUAUCGGGAGGAACACCUGUGGCGAAAGCGGCGCACUGGACCAUAACUGACGCUGNNNCGCGAAAGCUAGGGGAUCAAACAGGAUUAGA
rnacentral:rRNA from 1 species